GCAUAUAAAAUUUGUAGAAUCAAGGCUGCUGUCACAAAGUGGUUUUACAAUUGUCUAUUGGCUUGAAAUUUAAUUAGAAAUGUAUGUUGUGUAGUGAACCCUUACAAUGGCUUAACAUCUGCUUGUUAUGUAAAAAAAAGAUCAAUAUGCAUCCACUUGGUUGUUAUGUUAAUACAAAUCUUAUAAGAAGAAAACAGUGUCCAUAACAUGUAGUUAUUGAAAAAAUCUAAUAUGUAAUUACAUGACCUUGCAUUAUCAGAAGUUCAACCUAGUUCAUGAUAUUUUGUGUAUUUGGUUAAAACAUCUACUAAAUUAAAAAGUAGGAUAACAUUAUUGUCUUUGGCUUUAAUAUUUUCAAUGUAGUGGGUGGGAUUUGUUAAGAUUUAUAUGUGUAAUUUAAAUUGAUUAUGAUUGUCGUAACGUUAUUGUAAGUUGUGACGACUUGUGCUACAUUUCCAAACUCUGAUAACUUGCCGAAAAUUGUUUCAAAAUGUAACUUUAUAAUAUUUUCCACAGCCUUAUUUUAAGGCAACCAAUUAAUCAAAACUGUUAUUAUUUAGAUUAAAUAAUAUUAAUAGAAUAUUAAUAGAACCAUGUGAUGUGAAAAUAUGUACAAAACAAAAUGUAAUUUUUAUAAGAAAGAGCCAUCAGUGGCCUCUGAAAAAUGUGAAACAUUAAAUAUUUUGUACAAUUCGUCUUCUACUUUGACGACUGCUGGCGGUUGAUUCGCGGGAUUCGAUGUUUCACAAACGUCCAUGUAUUUUAGCUUUGGUCUUAGAGGACCU